UUAAAGCAAAGAGCAAGUGAUGGAUAAGUCUGGAAUGGAUUCUCUUGACUACGUGACAUUGGACUCAGCUGUGGAAACUGAAAAUCAAAGUGAUAAUUCUUCUGGUAGCAGCUUAUUUAAAACGCAGUGUGUUCGUGACUCACCUAAACGGAAGCAAAGAAACCCUAUUAAAAAAUUUGUUCAUUUGCCUGAAAGUGUUCAAGCAAGAGAGUCAUCAAGUGACUCAUCUAUAGAACCAGUAACUUUAAAAGCUAUUUUUGAUAGAUUCAAGAAUAGGAAACGUAAAUGCAGAAAGAGGAAAUACAAACCAACAGGAAGACAAAGGGGAAGACCAAAAGGAAGUAAAAACCCUAGAUAUUCACAAAUAAGUAAGAAACUAUUAGAAGACAAAGGACCUGGGUUCCCAUUUUUGGAAUCAGAGACUGACAGAAAACCAUUACCUUGGAGAAAAAUUUUAAAUUUUGAGCAAGCUGUUGCAAGAGGAUUUUUCAACUACAUUGAAAAACUGAAGUAUGAGCACCACCUUAAAGAAUCAUUGAAACAAAUGGAUGUUGGCGAAGAAUUAGAAAAAGAAGAUUUUGAUAGUCGUAGAUACAAAUAUUUGGAUGAUGAUGGAUCCAUUUCUCCUAUUGAAGAGUCAGUAGCAGAGGAUCAGGAUACAACACAUACUGAACAGGAUGAAUGUGAUAUCAAAUUGGGAGCGGAUAGUUGUUUCAUAAUAAGUUCUGAUUUCCCAAGGAAGAUCAAUGUACAUGUAGAACAAGAGAAUAGUACUAAAGAAGCUGCUGUGUCUAAAAAGAGAGCUACAAAGGCCAAAAACAUUGGACAGAGGAUACCACGGAGACAGGAACAUGAAUAUCAAAGAAGGCUUUUAUCUUGAGAACAUGGUGUCUGGAGUUGAAGGUAUUGGCAUAUCCCACUGAUCUGUACUAUUGAGUGUGAUGGCUUUAGGAACUAAUGAUUUGAACUCAUUCAUUUUUCUAAGAGGGUGUCAAAUUGAGAACCAGGCAGAUCCAUCUACUCUAAAAAUGUAAGGUUUUCUAUUUCUGUUCCUUUCUGGCUGCUGGCUUCUUCCCUCUAUUGUUAGCAUUGCCAGCAUAACAAGAACUGCAUGCAGAUACUUUCAGAGUGUGUACAAUCUGGAGAGGAACUUUUACCAAAGCCUCAUUCUAGAUGAGAAUGGACACUGUUGAUCACAGUGUCCAAAAAUUGUUAAUGUGGCUAAAUUGACACAGGUUAUGCUUCCAUCACAGUACAUGUAUUGCAGUGGUGACAAUGAGACCUGUAACAUUUUGCACAGCUUGUGAGUGGAAAUAUAUGUAAGAAUGUUGACUUUUAAAUAUUAGAGAUGCUUAAAGAAUAAUAUACAGUCAUGCAUCAUGUAAUGACAGGGAUGCUUUUACACAAGGUCAGGAUCUUCAGUAUCACUGUCUUCCACCUCCACAUCUGUCCCACUGGAAGGUCUUCAGGGGCACUAACACGAUGGGGCUGUCAUCUCCUGUGGUGAUAAUACCUUGUGAAGGACCUGCCUUAGACUGUUUACAGUUAAUGUUUUUGUAAGUAGGGGAAAGCACACUCUAAGAAAUAUAAUAUAGAUACAGGUGUUAAGUAUUAUACAUAAUUGUAUGUGCUAUAUUUUUGUAUGACUGGCAGUACAGGUUUGCUUGUGCCUGCAUCACCACAAUGUGUUAGGUCACUGGGCAAUAGGAAAUUUUUAGCCUCAUUAUUAUCUUACAGAAACACUGUUCUAUAUGCAGUCCGUUGUUGACUGAAACAUUAUGUAGUGCACGACUGCAUUAGAUCAUGUGUCAAAAUACCAAUGUACUUUCUACAAUUCAGCUUUUAGGACCCUGAAGUAAUAACUUGCUUGAAGAAAUUAGAUCCCAAAAAUUCUUGGUGGGGAGUUUAAGUUUUCAUCAGUAUGUCCAUAUCCAAGUGGAGAUAAAAGAAGCCAAAAUAAAAAGAAAAGAAUUGUGGCAAGCAACUUCUGGUAAGAUAAAAACUAUUUGCCAAAGGGUAUAAUGGUCAUUACCAAGGCUUUUAGAAUGCAGUUUCUCAUUUGCUGUGGACAUGACCAUAAAAAAACUUCCCACUAGGUUUUCUAUCUGCUACUUUGCUAGCAAUUAGCCUACUGGGAACAUUUUAUUAACCCUUUAUUAGCCUAUUUUACUUCCAUUGCCUAGAUGAGCACUGUCCAAGUGAAAAUAUAAGGCAAGCAGCAUGUGAUUAUUUAAUACAUGUGAAAUUUACAACAGACACAUUUCACAUUCUCACUGACCACAGUGCACACCUAGAUCUCUUAUACCUUGUAGCUUUGUCUAGCUAAUUAUCAUUGUAACCCUUCUGGAUGGCUAAUAAGUAGGUGGUUUGUUUCAUUAUAUGAUCAUCUCUAGAAAUGUAACUUUUAUAUUGUUAUGUAGGGAUGACAGGACAACUGUGGAUGGAGGAUCUAUUAAAAAGGGCCAUCUUGAAGGUAAAUCUUGAAAGACCGCCAGCCUUUGAGGAACUCAGGCUACCUUGAC